UGGCUGAGCGGUAAAGCACUUGGUUUCCUAACCGAGGGGCCCCGGGUUCAAAUCCUGG
rnacentral:tRNA from 1 species